rnacentral:snoRNA from 3 species
UUAGCAAAUGACGGUAAGCAAGACAGGGACUCUGCAGUGCUCCCGAUUUCAGAUUGGGGCCGCGAAUGAUGCAUCCGUCUAGGGGAAUCUCUGAUGCUAA